rnacentral:misc_RNA from 1 species
AAGUCGUAACAAGGUUUCCGUAGGUGAACCUGCGGAAGGAUCAUUACCGAUUUUAGCGGACCUGAUCUUUGGUCAUGGUCUCGCAAAAAACUUGUAUUUAAAACCCCACUCUUAUAAAUUGAAUCAUUUUAUUAUAUGUAUAAUAAAUAAAGAUCACUUUCAACAACGGAUCUCUUGGCUCUC